GACUACAGGGGUAUCUAAUCCCAUUCGCUACCCACGCUUUCGUGCUUGAGCGUCAGAUAUGUGUUAGUAUGGUGCUUUCGCUUUCGGUGUUCCCCAUGAUAUCAACGGAUUUCACCCCUACACCAUGAGUUCCCCAUACUCCCCACAUUCUCUAGCAAUGCCGUUUCGUUCGCGAGUCUCGGGUUAAGCCCGAGGAUUUGACAAACGACUAACAUCACCGCCUACGCACCCUUUACGCCCAAUAAUUCCGGAUAACGCUCGGGGCUCUCGUAUUACCGCUCCUGCUGGCACGAGAUUAGGAGCCCCUUAUUCAUGAGGUACCGUCAAUAAACUUCUUCCCUCAUAAAAGAUUUUUACACAACGAAUUGCUUCUUCAAUCACGCGGCGUCGCUCCGUCAGACUUUCGUCCAUUGCGGAAGAUUCUCGACUGCAGCCCCCCGUAGG
rnacentral:rRNA from 1 species